UGAAGAUAUAUUUAAGAUGACCUUAAAUAUCAGAACGGGUUAUGAACAAGCCUUAGUGAGCACUCAGUGCACACUAGCCCAAGCGGCCGAAUUCGCUAUAAAAGUUUCCUACUAGCCACAUUCGUAUCUAGCUAUGCAUCUCUCAUCACUGUGCAUUAAUCCAAAAAACACGUUCCCGUUUUUCGGAUUGAUCGACAGUCAUGGAAAACGAGUAGCUAGAAAUGAAUGUGUCUGGUCGAAAGGUUUCGACCAGUCGAUCGAUCUGUCGAAUGGUAAUGCACGGCAGUGGCGGCGGCGAUAGCGGCGCUGUUGUGGCGUUCGCCAGACGGUUGCCGAACGCGAAGGCGCGAAAACAGCGGGCGGAAAAGAGUGGAGAAGGAAAUGGUGAGAAACGCGUCGAGGUCUCAGGACUAGGAUUGGAAUAGAAUUUCUCUCGUGUCCACGCCAUCCGUCGCACGACAGACGCCGGAUAGAAUUCGCGCUUAUGAAAAUAAAAGUCCGAUGGCAGAGGAAAUGUCGUUAGAAACAACAAUAAAUUGAGAGAGCGAUUGGUAGACGCGAAUGUUGCUGCUUACGGCUCUGAGUGGACUUGACUUCGAUGACGAGCUGCCUGUCGAUCGGCGAGUCUAGGAUCCAGGUGCACUUCUGCUGGUAAUACUGAUUCAGCUUCAGCCCUGCGCUCGCCA